rnacentral:rRNA from 1 species
GACGAACGCUGGCGGCGUGCUUAACACAUGCAAGUCGAGCGGUAAGGCCUUUCGGGGUCCACUAGCGUCGUACGGGUGAGUAACACGUUGGUGAUCUGCCCUGCACUUCGUGAUAAUCCUGGGACACUGGGCCUAAUACCCUAUAUGACCUCCUAUCGCAUGGUGGGUGGUGUCAAGAUUUAUCGGUGCUGGAUGGGCCCUCGGCCUAUCAGCUUGUUCGUGGUGUAAUGGCCUACCAAGGCGACGACGGAUAGCCGACCUGAGAGGGUCCACGGCCACACGGGGACUGAGAGACGGAGCAGACUGCUACGGGAGGCAGCAGUGGGGAAUAUUGUACAAUGGGCGAAAGCGUGAGGCAGAGACGUCGCGUGAGGGAUGACGGCCUUCGGGUUGUAAACCUCUGUCAGCAGGGACGAAGCGAAAGUGACGGUACCUGCAGAAGAAGCACCGGCUAACUACGUG